AGCUUUGCACAGUGGCAAUAUUGUAGCCAAUGAGGUUUAUCUGAGGCAUGAUUAUUGCUAAUUGAAAACUUUUCCUGG
rnacentral:snRNA from 1 species